CAGUGCCCUUUAAUCACUGACCCCAUGUGAGUCCUGUCCACAUGAUCACACCCACGUGGGAUUGUGGAGAGACGGCACCAGUGGAGCUGGGGCAGAGAGGGACUCUGCUCUCUGGAGUGCUGUUUUUGUUGGGCACUGUUGAAACCUAAAUGGGCAUGGUGCUAAGACAGCUGGAGAAGCAACUGGCUUGAGAAGGAAGGAAGUGAAACCUGUGCGGUCUGAGACUG
rnacentral:lncRNA from 1 species